UACGAAGGGGGCUAGCGUUGCUCGGAAUCACUGGGCGUAAAGGGUGCGUAGGCGGGUCUUUAAGUCCGUUGUGAAAGCCCUGGGCUCAACCCAGGAACUGCUUCGGAUACUGGCGCGCUUGAGGCUAGUAGGGGUCACUGGAACUGACGGUGGAGCGGUGAAAUGCGUAGAUAUCGUCAGGAACGCCAAUGGUGAAGACAGGUGACUGGGCUAGUUCUGACACUGAGGCACGAAAGCGUGGGGAGCAAACAGGGAUUAAGA
rnacentral:rRNA from 1 species